AGUUUGCUUGAGCUAAUUUGAGUUAUAUUUACUGUGGAAUGGACAAUGACGAUGAUUUCACCUUUUGCCAGGCAAGUUGAAUGUUUACAUUACCUAGAAUGAAGCCAGAGUCCCCUAAUCUUCUUGUGUUCAAUUCGUUUUAUCAAUUGUGAACUUUGUUUUCAUGAGAUAGUGUCAAUAGUGGAUGCUUUGUGCAUAUUAUCAUAUCUGCUGAAAUUCAGGAUUUGUCUUUAUUAGGUUGGUGUUACUGCCCAAGAUGGUGUUGAGGCGAAGAAGCUUGCUUCGGAUAUUGAUGGUGUGGUUAUAAAAGAUGAGUCCUCAACUGGCACCAAUGGAAGACAAAGUACUGGUAUCACUUGGAAAGAUAGCUUGCCAAUUGAUGCUUCUUCCAAGAAGGAGGAAACUGUUGGUUCUUUGUCUUUCAAUGUUAUUGAUGGGGCAUCUUUAAAAAAAUCUAGUGAUGUGUCCAGACAAGUAGCAUCUUUAGAUGUUGGAACUUCAGUUACAAAUUCAAAAGGACAAAAACCUUCUUCCAGGAAGCCUGCCGCUCGAGCCAAGGUUCCCUUUGAAAAGGGGUAUAGCCAAAUGGAUUGGCUUAAGCUCACUCGAACUCAUCCUGAUCUUGCUGGACUGAAGGGACAGUCUAAUAAGAGGCUUAUUUCUAUGAAUGAAGUUAAACAACAUCAAAGUGAAGGGUCCAUGUGGACUGUUCUAAAAGGC
rnacentral:misc_RNA from 1 species